rnacentral:rRNA from 1 species
ACACGUGGGUGACCUGCCUCGAAGACGGGGAUAACCACUGGAAACGGUGGCUAAUACCCGAUGGUCUCGAUAAUUCGGUUUAUCGAGUAAAGGCUCCGGCGCUUUGAGAGGGACCUGCGGCCCAUCAGCUAGUUGGUAGGGUAAUGGCCUACCAAGGCAAAGACGGGUAGGGGGCGUGAGAGCGUGACCCCCCACACUGGCACUGGGACACGGGCCAGACUCCUACGGGAGGCAGCAGUGAGGAAUAUUGCGCAAUGAGCGAAAGCUAGACGCAGCAACGCCGCGUGGGUGAUGAAGGCCUUCGGGUCGUAAAACCCUUUUCUGGGGGAAGAGUAAGGACGGUACCCCAGGAAUAAGCCUCGGCUAACUAUGUGCCAGCAGCCGCGGUAAUACAUAGGAGGCAAGCGUUAUCCGGAUUUACUGGGCGUAAAGAGCGUUGAGGCGGCUUCGUAAGUUGGACGUGAAAGCUCCCGGCUUAACUGGGAGAGGCCGUUCAAUACUGCGGGGCUUGAGGACAGCAGAGGGGGGUGGAAUUUCCGGUGUAGUGGUGAAAUGCGUAGAUAUCGGAAGGAACACCAGUGGCGAAGGCGGCCCCCUGGGCUGCUCCUGACGCUGAAGGCGAAAGCUAGGGUAGCGAACGGGAUUAGAAACCCCGGUAGUCCUAGCCGUAAACGAUGGAUACUAGGUGUAGGAGGUUAAAAUUCCUUCUGUGCCGGAGCUAACGCGUUAAGUAUCCCGCCUGGGGAGUACGGUCGCAAGGCUAAAACUCAAAGGAAUUGACGGGGGCCCGCACAAGCAGCGGAGCGUGUGGUUUAAUUCGAUGCAACGCGAAGAACCUUACCAGGGCUUGACAUGUAGGUAGUAGUGAAGCGAAAGCGGAACGAUCCUUCGGGAAGCCUACACAGGUGCUGCAUGGCUGUCGUCAGCUCGUGCCGUGAGGUGCUAGGUUAAGUCCUGUAACGAGCGCAACCCCUGCCGUUAGUUACAAGUGUCUAUCGGGACUGCCCGGCAAAACUGGGAGGAAGGUGGGGAUGAGGUCAAGUCAGCAUGGCCUUUAUGUCCUG